AGAGUUUGAUCAUGGCUCAGGACGAACGCUGGCGGCGUGCUUAACACAUGCAAGUCGAACGAUGAUGACCGGAGCUUGCUUUGGUUGGAUUAGUGGCGAACGGGUGAGUAACACGUGAGUAACCUGCCCCCUUCUUCGGGAUAACCAUUGGAAACGGUGGCUAAUACCGGGUAUGACAUCAGAUCGCAUGGUUUGGUGUGGAAAGGUUUUUUCUGGUGGGGGAUGGGCUCGCGGCCUAUCAGCUUGUUGGUGGGGUGAUGGCCUACCAAGGCUUUGACGGGUAGCCGGCCUGAGAGGGCGACCGGCCACACUGGGACUGAGACACGGCCCAGACUCCUACGGGAGGCAGCAGUGGGGAAUAUUGCACAAUGGGGGAAACCCUGAUGCAGCGACGCCGCGUGGGGGAUGAAGGCCUUCGGGUUGUAAACCCCUUUCAGUAAGGAACAAGGCCAUGAUUGUUGUUGUGGUUGAGGGUACUUGCAGAAGAAGCGCCGGCUAACUACGUGCCAGCAGCCGCGGUAAUACGUAGGGCGCAAGCGUUGUCCGGAAUUAUUGGGCGUAAAGAGCUCGUAGGCGGUUUGUCGCGUCUGUCGUGAAAUCCCGAUGCUUAACGUCGGGCUUGCGGUGGGUACGGGCAGGCUGGAGUGCGGUAGGGGUGACUGGAAUUCCUGGUGUAGCGGUGGAAUGCGCAGAUAUCAGGAGGAACACCGAUGGCGAAAGCAGGUCACUGGGCCGUUACUGACGCUGAUGAGCGAAAGCAUGGGGAGCGAACAGGAUUAGAUACCCUGGUAGUCCAUGCCGUAAACGUUGGGCACUAGGUGUGGGGAUUGUUCCACGAUUUCCUGUACCGUAGCUAACGCAUUAAGUGCCCCGCUGGGGAGUACGGCGCAGGCUAAAACUCAAGGAUUGACGG
rnacentral:rRNA from 1 species